rnacentral:rRNA from 1 species
CAGCAGCCGCGGUAAUACGUAGGUCCCGAGCGUUGUCCGGAUUUAUUGGGCGUAAAGCGAGCGCAGGCGGUUAGAAAAGUCUGAAGUGAAAGGCAGUGGCUCAACCAUUGUAGGCUUCGGAAACUGUUUAACUUGAGUGCAGAAGGGGAGAGUGGAAUUCCAUGUGUAGCGGUGAAAUGCGUAGAUAUAUGGAGGAACACCGGUGGCGAAAGCGGCUCUCUGGUCUGUAACUGACGCUGAGGCUCGAAAGCGUGGGGAGCGAACAGGAUUAGAUACCCUGGUAGUCCACGCCGUAAACGAUGAGUGCUAGGUGUUAGGUCCUUUCCGGGACUUAGUGCCGCAGCUAACGCAUUAAGCACCCCGCCUGGGGAGUACGACCGCAAGGUUGAAACUCAAAGGAAUUGACGGGGGCCCGCACAAGCGGUGGAGCAUGUGGUUUAAUUCGAAGCAACGCGAAGAACCUUACCAGGUCUUGACAUCCCGAUGCUAUUUCUAGAGAUAGGAAGUUUCUUCGGAACAUCGGUGACAGGUGGUGCAUGGUUGUCGUCAGCUCGUGUCGUGAGAUGUUGGGUUAAGUCCCGCAACGAGCGCAACCCUUAUUGUUAGUUGCCAUCAUUGAGUUGGGCACUCUAGCGAGACUGCCGGUAAUAAACCGGAGGAAGGUGGGGAUGACGUCAAAUCAUCAUGCCCCUUAUGACCUGGGCUACACACGUGCUACAAUGGCUGGUACAACGAGUCGCAAGCCGGUGACGGCAAGCUAAUCUCUGAAAGCCAGUCUCAGUUCGGAUUGUAGGCUGCAACUCGCCUACAUGAAGUCGGAAUCGCUAGUAAUCGCGGAUCAGCACGCCGCGGUGAAUACGUUCCCGGGCCUUGUACACACCGCCCGUCACACCACGAGAGUUUGUAACACCCGAAGUCGGUGAGGUAACCGUAAGGAGCCAGCCGCCUAAGGUGGGAUAGAUGAUUGGGGGUGAAGUCGUAACAAGGUAGCCGU